rnacentral:rRNA from 1 species
GAUGAACGCUGGCGGCGUGCCUAAUACAUGCAAGUCGAGCGAACAGACGAGGAGCUUGCUCCUCUGACGUUAGCGGCGGACGGGUGAGUAACACGUGGAUAACCUACCUAUAAGACUGGGAUAACUUCGGGAAACCGGAGCUAAUACCGGAUAAUAUCUUGAACCGCAUGGUUCAAUAGUGAAAGACGGUUUUGCUGUCACUUAUAGAUGGACCCGCGCCGCAUUAGAUAGUUGGUAAGGUAACGGCUUACCAAGUCAACGAUGCGUAGCCGACCUGGGAGAGUGAUCGGCCACACUGGAACUGUGACACGGUCCAGACUCCUACGGGAGGCAGCAGUAGGGAAUCUUCCGCAAUGGGCGAAAGCCUGACGGAGCAACGCCGCGUGAGUGAUGAAGGUCUUCGGAUCGUAAAACUCUGUUAUUAGGGAAGAACAAAUGUGUAAGUAACUAUGCACGUCUUGACGGUACCUAAUCAGAAAGCCACGGCUAACUACGUG